rnacentral:rRNA from 1 species
AACGAACGCUGGCGGCAGGCUUAACACAUGCAAGUCGAGCGCGCCGCAAGGGGAGCGGCAGACGGGUGAGUAACGCGUGGGAAUCUACCCAUCUCUACGGAAUAACGCAUGGAAACGUGUGCUAAUACCGUAUACGUCCUUCGGGAGAAAGAUUUAUCGGAGAUGGAUGAGCCCGCGUUGGAUUAGCUAGUUGGUGGGGUAAAGGCCUACCAAGGCGACGAUCCAUAGCUGGUCUGAGAGGAUGAUCAGCCACACUGGGACUGAGACACGGCCCAGACUCCUACGGGAGGCAGCAAUGGGGAAUAUUGGACAAUGGGCGCAAGCCUGAUCCAGCCAUGCCGCGUGAGUGAUGAAGGCCCUAGGGUUGUAAAGCUCUUUCACCGGUGAAGAUAAUGACGGUAACCGGAGAAGAAGCCCCGGCUAACUUCGUGCCAGCCGCCGCCGUAAGAC